GACGAACGCUGGCGGCGUGCCUAAUACAUGCAAGUCGAGCGAACCAAUAAGAAGCUUGCUUUUUGUUGGUUAGCGGCGGACGGGUGAGUAACACGUGGGUAACCUGCCUGUAAGACCGGGAUAACUCCGGGAAACCGGUGCUAAUACCGGAUAGAUUAUCUUUCCGCAUGGAGAGAUAAGGAAAGAUGGCUAUUGCCAUCACUUACAGAUGGGCCCGCGGCGCAUUAGCUAGUUGGUGAGGUAACGGCUCACCAAGGCGACGAUGCGUAGCCGACCUGAGAGGGUGAGCGGCCACACUGGGACUGAGACACGGCCCAGACUCCUACGGGAGGCAGCAGUAGGGAAUCUUCCGCAAUGGACGAAAGUCUGACGGAGCAACGCCGCGUGAGCGAAGAAGGUCUUCGGAUCGUAAAGCUCUGUUGUUAGGGAAGAACAAGUAUCGGAGGAAAUGCCGGUACCUUGACGGUACCUGACGAGAAAGCCACGGCUAACUACGUG
rnacentral:rRNA from 1 species